GCAGGAGACGGGGCACCAUGAACUCCAGGCUCUGAGUCUCAGAGUUGGGGUGGUGCUUCGGUGUUGUGUCCUCUAGUGUCUCUUGCUGGUCUCUUCAUCAAAAUCUUUGAGGGCCACUUAGGUGCUAAUAAAUUAGGUGUUUUUAUUUCACUUUGUAAAAUGCUUGGGUCCAGCCAGGCCCUGCAGGGCCUUCUUCACGCUUUGCCUCCUUCUGAGCCUGGGGCUAUGUCCUUGGGGGACCUUUUGUACCUUGGCCAAAGAGCUUCCUUUUGGCAUUUACUGUGUCCCCAGCUGCCUUUGACCCACACCUUCUUGUAGAAGUGGCUCAUUAUAUGUAAGUUUCCUCUCUAGAUGGGGAGCUCCCAAAGUAUGUAAGGAUCUAUUUAUGCUGCUUUUCUGAAGCCCAGUACAGGCUGACCAAAGAGCUCUACCUGCUGAAGCGAGGAGAUGGGGAAUGAGAUCAGAGAUGAACCCAGGUUCUUCGGUAGAGGACUUUGAAUGCCAAGGGUCUCACUAUGUAGCCCAGGUUGGCCUGGAACUCAUGGAGAUCCUCCUGCCUUAUCCUUCCAAGUGCUGGGAUUACAGGCCCAGCAUACUUGCCCCUACUAGUUUGCUCCAGGACCUGAAGAGUGGGCAGGACUGACAUUUCCUGUGCCAAGCGUGGGCAAAGCGCUUUCACAGAUGUCUCGGGCUUCCAACAGUAUCUGAGCUUCACUGAUGAGACAGAUGUCAAGAACCAGCAAAGGAAAAGAAAUACAGAAAAAAGGAAAAAAAGAAAAGAACCAGUAUAAAGGAAAUACUAGCAUGUCUUUAAUCUGGACCAAUCUGAUAUUCACAUAUUUGGGGGAGCUCAAAAGUCUCAUGGUGACCCUGGUCCUGUUCCAGGUCAAGUUUCUGUACUGAAGGAGCUCAAGGCCACACAGUAAAUCCAUCCUGGGCAGCUGGCUGAGAAGCAUGAAAAGGUCCUGGAGAAGAGGCAUGAAAGGAGAUGGAAGUAGCUGCCAUAGGCAAACUCGGCUGACUUCACAGCAUGCAGCUGCCCUAUGGAUAGAUCUCUUGUUUAUUCCCAAAUCCCGUGAGCAGAGAUCUUCUCCAGCUGAUGAAGCACUGAGAACACACUGCACUGCUCCCAGGCACUGAAAACAUCAGCGUGGUAUAGACUAGAGUUUGGGACCAUUUCCCCUUAUCACCUAAAGUUCUGCUAAUGGGAAACUGAGGCCUGGCUAAAUAAACUUGGUUCUGAGAUCAGUAACUUCAGAAAUCUCUUCUUUCCUUCAUUUCUUUUGUCUUUUUAAUGUCUACUGUAAAAGGGAGACAGAAAUGAACAGGACUCAGUUCCUA